AUGGUGGUGGUGCUGGUGGUGAUAGGGAUUUUCAAACUAGGAAGUGAAAGAACUGCAAAGGGUAAUGUAGGCACUGGUAGUGUGCAUGAUAAGAUUGAUGAUAAAUAUGCAAAUGAUGAUGAUAAAAAGGAGGCAAAUGAUGAUUAUAUUCCUUUUAGCGACCACCCUCACGGCCUCACCCCACCGGUUAUUUCGUCCCUGUCUCACACUCUCCCUGACUCCAGACUUCGUCCAAUCGUCCCUUCCCUGUCUCACACUCUCCCAGUCUCCCUUCCCCUUUCCCUUUUUCCUUUCCCCUUUCCCCAGCAAAUUAAGAAAACACUUUCACCCCGAUCCGGAGCAUUCUUGGCGAGACAAAGAUUCAGCGAAGCAAGGAAGCAACGAAGCAACGAAGCAUUCCAAUUUCCAAGAUUGCAAUUUGCAGUGGACAAAGGAAAGAGAGUAGCGAGCGGGAGUGGCAGUACACAAACCACCAUCAAUCAGCUGCUAAAAAAGGAUCUUAGAGAAGAAGCACGUCGACAAAUUGCAAGAUUUUUCUACACCAGUGCAAUUCCAUUUAACUGUGUGAAAAACCCUGAAUUUGUUAAAGCACUUGAAUUGGUUGCAAAGCAUGGACCAGGUUUUAAGCCCCCAUCCUACCAUGAUAUUAGAGAGAAGUAUUUGAAGCAAGAAGUAGAUCACACGAUCAACUUGCUUGAAGAGUACAAGUUAGAAUGGAAAAAAACAGGUUGCUCAAUAAUGUCUAAUGGAUGGACUGAUAAGAAAAGGCGUUCUAUUUGCAACUUUUUGGUUAAUAGUCCUAAAGGGACAAUUUUUUUAUCAUCCGUAGAUACCUCUAAUAUAUCCAAGACUGCUGAUAAAGUAUUUGAGAUGUUGGAUGCUAUUGUGGAGAGGAUUGGAGAGGAAAAUGUGGUGCAAGUAGUCACUAACAAUGCUGCAAAUUAUAAGGCAGCAGGGCAAUUAUUGAUGGGAAAAAGAAAAAGAUUGUUUUGGACACCAUGUGCUGCCCAUUGUAUUGACUUGAUAUUGGAAGAUUUUGAGAAGAAACUAGAGGUCCAUAAAGUAACUAUUGCUAAUGGGAGGAGAAUCACCUCAUACAUAUAUUCAAGAACUAUUCUCAUUUCCAUGCUCAGACACUUUACAAAAGGAAAGGAUUUGAUUAGGCCUGCUGCCACUAGAUUUGCUACUGCAUACUUAACUCUUGGAUGUUUGAGUGAUUGUAAGAUACAGUUGAUGACAAUGUUUACUUCCAUCCAAUGGAGGUCAUGUAGGUUUUCAAAAACAGAAGAAGGGAAGCGAAUUCAAAGUUGUGUUUUGGACAACAAGUUUUGGCAUGAUGUUACUACAUGUAUUAAGGCAGCAUAUCCUCUGAUAAAAUUUCUUUGAUUAGUUGAUUCAGAUGAGAAACCAGCUAUGAGUUUUAUAUAUGAAGCAAUGGAUCAAGCAAAAGAGAAGAUACAAGUGAAUUUUGGUAUGUGAAAAAAAAGUUAUAUGCCUAUAUGGAAUAUCAUUGAUGCAAGAUGGGAACUUCAACUUUACAGACCUUUACAUGCAGCAGCAUAUUAUUUGAAUCCUCAUUAUCAUUAUAAUUCUAAUUUUAAAGUUAAUGCCAACAUUAAAAUUGGAUUAUAUCAAUGCUUAGAAAGAAUGGUGCCCGACGCAAGUGAAAGGUGUAAAAUUGACUUGCAACUUGAUUCAUUCAAGGAUGCAAGUGGGUUGUUCGGUAUUGAGGCUGCCAAGAUAACAAGGGAUAAAAAGACUCCAGCUAAAUGGUGGGAUUCUUAUGGGGAUGAAUGUCCAUAGCUACAAAAAUUUGCAAUUCGAGUUCUAAGCUUGACUUGUAGUUCAUCUAGAUGCGAGCGAAACUGGAGUGCAUUUGAGAUGGUUCAUACAAAACGAAGAAAUCGUUUGCACCAGAAAAAAAUGAAUGACUUGGUAUUUGUAAUGUGCAAUCUGAAAUUAAAUGAUAACCAAGUCAAAAAGCAAGCUAAUGAUUUUGGUGAAGUUUUUUAUCAUCUCUCAUCUGAUGAUGAUUGGAUAACCGAGGGAGAAAAACAUGAUGGUUCAUCCAACUUUGAUUUGCUUGGUGUCAUUGAUAGUGCAACACGAAGGAAAAACGGUAAAGAAGAUGAAAGUGAUGAUGAAGAAAAUCUUAAUGAUGUUGGGAUGGAGUGUCAUGAAACUGAAGAUGAUUUAGAGAUUCAGAAUGAUGUCAAUCCAGAUAAUUCAAGGAGCUUGGAGUUAAAUGUUGUUGACAAUAUUGGUGUUGGUCCUGGUACUAGUAGUAGCACUAAUGUUCCUAAUAUCGGUGCUGGUACUAGUAGUAGCAGUAAUAAUCCUUUAGAUGGUAAUGAUUUUGAUGACUGUUUUAGGAAUAAUGAGGGAGACAAAGGCAAUGAGGGUGUGUUUAGUUUACAUGACACACCUACAGACUGUUUGUUUUAAGUGUGUUAACUUUUAGUUAUUGAAAUACUAUGGACAUGUAUGAAUUUUUAUUUGAAUUAUGUAUUUUAAGAUGUUUGGAUAUUUGUAUUGUU